UACGUGAGGUGGCAAGCGUUGUCCGGAUUUACUGGGCGUAAAGAGCGCGCAGGCGGUCGUUCAAGUCGCGUGUGAAAGCCCCCGGCUCAACUGGGGAGGGUCACGCGAUACUGAUCGACUCGAAGGCAGGAGAGGUAGUGGAAUUCCCGGUGUAGUGGUGAAAUGCGUAGAUAUCGGGAGGAACACCAGUGGCGAAGGCGACUACCUGGCCUGUUCUUGACGCUGAGGCGCGAAAGCUGAGGGGAGCAAACGGGG
rnacentral:rRNA from 1 species